GACGAACGCUGGCGGCGUGCUUAACACAUGCAAGUCGAACGGAAAGGCCCUGCUUUUUUGGGGUGUUCUAGUGGCUAGCGGAUGGGUAACACGUGAGUAACCUGCCCUUGACUUUGGGAUAACUUCAGGAAACUGGGGCUAAUACCGGAUAGUAGCUCCUGCUGCAUGGUGGGGGUUGGAAAGUUUCGGCGGUUGGGGAUGGACUCGCGGCUGAUCAUCUUGUUGGUGGGGUAUUGGCUUACCAAGGCUUUGCCGGGCAGCCGGCCUGAGAGGGUGACCGGCCACAUUGGGACUGAGGUACGGCCCAGACUCCUACGGGAGGCAGCAGUGGGGAAUAUUGCACAAUGGGCGGAAGCCUGAUGCAGCAACGCCGCGUGCGGGAUGACGGCCUUCGGGUUGUAAACCGCUUUCGCCUGUGACGAAGCGUGAGUGACGGUAAUGGGUAAAGAAGCACCGGCUAACUACGUG
rnacentral:rRNA from 1 species